ACGCGAAGAACCUUACCAAGGCUUGACAUAUACAGGAAUAUGGCAGAGAUGUCAUAGCCGCAAGGUCUGUAUACAGGUGGUGCAUGGUUGUCGUCAGCUCGUGUCGUGAGAUGUUGGGUUAAGUCCCGCAACGAGCGCAACCCUCGUUCUGUGUUGCCAGCAUUUAGUUGGGGACUCACAGGAGACUGCCGGGGUUAACUCGGAGGAAGGUGGGGAUGACGUCAAAUCAUCAUGCCCCUUAUGUCUUGGGCUGCACGCAUGCUACAAUGGCUGGUACAAACGGCUGCGAUACCGCAAGGUGGAGCGAAUCCGAUAAAGCCAGUCUCAGUUCGGAUUGGGGUCUGCAACUCGACCCCAUGAAGUCGGAGUUGCUAGUAAUCGUAGAUCAGCAACGCUACGGUGAAUACGUUCCCGGGGCUUGUACACACCGCCCGUCACAUCACGAAAGUCGGUAACACCCAAAGUCAGUGCC
rnacentral:rRNA from 1 species